GAGUUUGAUCAUGGCUCAGAUUGAACGCUGGCGGCAGGCCUAACACAUGCAAGUCGAGCGGCAGCACGGGGAGCUUGCUCCCUGGUGGCGAGCGGCGGACGGGUGAGUAAUGCAUGGGAAUCUGCCCGGUAGUGGGGGAUAACCCGGGGAAACCCGGGCUAAUACCGCAUACGUCCUACGGGAGAAAGCAGGGGAUCUUCGGACCUUGCGCUAUCGGAUGAGCCCAUGUCGGAUUAGCUUGCUGGUGAGGUAACGGCUCACCAGGGCGACGAUCCGUAGCUGGUCUGAGAGGAUGAUCAGCCACACCGGGACUGAGACACGGCCCGGACUCCUACGGGAGGCAGCAGUGGGGAAUAUUGGACAAUGGGGGAAACCCUGAUCCAGCCAUGCCGCGUGUGUGAAGAAGGCUUUCGGGUUGUAAAGCACUUUCAGCGGGGAAGAAGGCAUGGCGGCUAAUACCCGCCAUGAAGGACAUCACCCGCAGAAGAAGCACCGGCUAACUCCGUGCCAGCAGCCGCGGUAAUACGGAGGGUGCAAGCGUUAAUCGGAAUUACUGGGCGUAAAGGGCGCGUAGGCGGCCUGCCAAGCCGGAUGUGAAAGCCCCGGGCUCAACCCGGGAACGGCAUUCGGAACUGGCAGGCUAGAGUGCAGGAGAGGAAGGUGGAAUUCCCGGUGUAGCGGUGAAAUGCGUAGAGAUCGGGAGGAAUACCAGUGGCGAAGGCGGCCUUCUGGACUGACACUGACGCUGAGGCGCGAAAGCGUGGGUAGCAAACAGGAUUAGAUACCCUGGUAGUCCACGCCGUAAACGAUGUCGACCAGCCGUUGGACCCCCUGAGGGUCUGGUGGCGCAGUUUACGCAAUAAGUCGACCGCCUGGGGAGUACGGCCGCCAGGCUAAAACUCAAAUGAAUU
rnacentral:rRNA from 1 species